AGUGAACGCUAGCGGGAUGCUUUACACAUGCAAGUCGAACGGCAGCGCGGACUUCGGUCUGGCGGCGGGUGGCGAACGGGUGAGUAAUGGAUCGGAACGUGCCCAGUAGCGGGGGAGAACUACGCGAAAGCGGAGCUAAUACCGCAUACGCCCUACGGGGGAAAGCUUGGGAGCGUAAGACCUUGCACUAUUGGGGCGGCCGAUAUCGGAUUAGCUGGUUGGUGAGGUAACGGCUCACCAAGGCGACGAUCCGUAGCUGGUUUGAGAGGACGACCAGCCACACUGGGACUGAGACACGGCCCAGACUCCUACGGGAGGCAGCAGUGGGGAAUUUUGGACAAUGGGGGCAACCCUGAUCCAGCCAUCCCGCGUGUGUGAUGAAGGCCUUCGGGUUGUAAAGCCCUUUUGGCAGGAAAGAAACGCCGCGGGCUAAUACCCCGCGGAACUGACGGUACCUGCAGAAUAAGCACCGGCUAACUACGUG
rnacentral:rRNA from 1 species